UCAAGUACAUGUAACUGAAGAAUCUUACUGGACCUGAACUAUUUUUACAAGACCUGUGUCAUAAAUAAUAAAAAACAACAUUUUGCACUAUGUGACAUGAAUACAGCAAAAUGCUAUUUAUUUUGUAUAGGUUGAGGUCAAAUGAAGUUUAGAAUUUCUAAAUGGCAAAUGAAUAUUAUUUCAAAUGAAGUCAUGUACCUUUUUGGCAACAAUACUAAAACAACAAUAAAUUAAAAGUGUUUCGACCCACCCUACAUUGCAUUAGCCGGGUGUACUCUG